rnacentral:rRNA from 1 species
UACAUGGGGUGCAAACGUUGCUCGGAAUUAUUGGGCGUAAAGCGCACGUAGGCGGUUCGUUAAGUCGGAUGUGAAAGCCCUCGGCUCAACUGAGGAAGUGCACCCGAAACUGGCGAGCUUGAGUACGAAAGAGGAUCGCGGAAUUCCCGGUGUAGAGGUGAAAUUCGUAGAUAUCGGGAGGAACACCAGUGGCGAAGGCGGCCGGCUGGGGGUGACCUGACGCUGAGGCGCGAAAGCGUGGGGAGCGAACCGG